rnacentral:rRNA from 1 species
GUCUAUGGCCAUGCCACCCUAAACAAGCUCGAUCCCGUCUGAUCUGAGAAGCUAAGCAGGGUCGGGCCUGGUUAGUACCUGGAUGGAGAUCACCUAGGAAUGUACCAGGUGCUGUAGGUG